rnacentral:rRNA from 1 species
GAUGAACGCUGGCGGCGUGCCUAAUACAUGCAAGUCGAGCGAACAGACGAGGAGCUUGCUCCUCUGACGUUAGCGGCGGACGGGUGAGUAACACGUGGAUAACCUACCUAUAAGACUAGGAUAACUUCGGGAAACCGGAGCUAAUACCGGAUAAUAUAUUGAACCGCAUGGUUCAAUAGUGAAAGACGGUUUUGCUGUCACUUAUAGAUGGAUCCGCGCCGCAUUAGCUAGUUGGUAAGGUAACGGCUUACCAAGGCAACGAUGCGUAGCCGACCUGAGAGGGUGAUCGGCCACACUGGAACUGAGACACGGUCCAGACUCCUACGGGAGGCAGCAGUAGGGAAUCUUCCGCAAUGGGCGAAAGCCUGACGGAGCAACGCCGCGUGAGUGAUGAAGGUCUUCGGAUCGUAAAACUCUGUUAUUAGGGAAGAACAAAUGUGUAAGUAACUAUGCACGUCUUGACGGUACCUAAUCAGAAAGCCACGGCUAACUACGUA